rnacentral:rRNA from 1 species
GACGAACGCUGGCGGCGUGCUUAACACAUGCAAGUCGAACGGAAAGGCCCUGCUUUUGUGGGGUGCUCGAGUGGCGAACGGGUGAGUAACACGUGAGUAACCUGCCCUUGACUUUGGGAUAACUUCAGGAAACUGGGGCUAAUACCGGAUAGGAGCUCCUGCUGCAUGGUGGGGGUUGGAAAGUUUCGGCGGUUGGGGAUGGACUCGCGGCUUAUCAGCUUGUUGGUGGGGUAGUGGCUUACCAAGGCUUUGACGGGUAGCCGGCCUGAGAGGGUGACCGGCCACAGUGGGACUGGGGUACGGCCCAGACUCCUACGGGAGGCAGGGGUGGGGAAUAUUGCACAAUGGGCGGAGGCCUGAUGCAGCAACGCCGCGUGCGGGAUGACGGCCUUCGGGUUGUAAAACGCUUUCGCCUGUGACGAAGCGUGAGUGACGGUAAUAGGUAAAGAAGCACCGGCUAACUACGU